rnacentral:rRNA from 1 species
GACGAACGCUGGCGGCGUGCUUAACACAUGCAAGUCGAACGGAAAGGCCCUGCUUGCAGGGUACUCGAGUGGCGAACGGGUGAGUAACACGUGGGUGAUCUGCCCUGCACUUCGGGAUAAGCCUGGGAAACUGGGUCUAAUACCGGAUAGGAGCCACUUUUAGUGUGAUGGUUGGAAAGUUUUUUCGGUGUAGGAUGAGCUCGCGGCCUAUCAGCUUGUUGGUGGGGUAAUGGCCUACCAAGGCGGCGACGGGUAGCCGGCCUGAGAGGGUGGACGGCCACAUUGGGACUGAGAUACGGCCCAGACUCCUACGGGAGGCAGCAGUGGGGAAUAUUGCACAAUGGGCGCAAGCCUGAUGCAGCGACGCCGCGUGGGGGAUGACGGCCUUCGGGUUGUAAACGCCUUUCGCUAGGGACGAAGCUUUUUGUGACGGUACCUAGAUAAGAAGCACCGGCUAACUACGUG